rnacentral:lncRNA from 1 species
UGCUGCUCUAUGCCUCAUUCGUGUACAGAUUCCCCAGCAGUAUUUUUUCGUCUGCCACUUGCGACUGCCGGGUUCCUGAUGUGCUUCUCAUGCCCCGCAGACCAUUGACCUGUACGUGGUUUUCGACGUGGCCACUGCCCUACUUCAGGUAAAAUUUCACACUUUGAUGAGGAUUCAUGAGCCCCGAUUUGGGAUAGACAAGUGUAGCAUACUGAGUUCAGGAAAUCAAUUAUGCGGCACGGCACCUAUUAGGUGAUUUGUGAACACACAACCAGGAUGAUUCCUAUCCUACCUAUGCUGUGCUUAUUGCUUCCAAGCUAGUGAUGGCGGUCGCAGGUGCAGUACCUGCUGGUUGUUACUAUCGCUGGCAGUUAGUGUUCAACAUCUAUCGCUUUAGCACCAAGCGACUAAACAAUGUUUUGGUAAAGCUUUCAGAAAUCAGUUUGCAGUGUUGAAUCAGUACACAUCUUUUACCUUCAAUUUGGUAGUAUGAAAAACACAUUAGUAAAUCUGAGUAACUUUGACAUAUUUUCUCUAUUAACUUGCACUGGAUUGGUACUCGUGAUUGCCUUGUACUUAAUUCUUCUAACACUGAUCUUGUUACUAUUAAUUUGUUAUUGCCAUGGUGUUUAUGCUAUUUAGAAUAAGAUCCAUGCAUCAAUUCUAAGUUCUCGUCUCUUUGAAGGGACACUUCUAGCUUCUAUGACUCAGACUUGUUAACUAUUGUUUCUUACUUUGUUAGCUACGACAUAUAUUUCCCCCAGUUAUUCCAAUUCUUCACUGAUUCAUGUAACAGGAUGACAGUGGAAGCCAUGUUGUUGUUUUGUUUGUUCCCAGCCCUAACUAUGGUCGUCGAGCGAGUCCGGCAUGUUGUUCAUCUAGUAGAGCUUGUUAGGAGUCUGAAUCUAAGAACUUGUAGAGCUUGUUAGUAUUACAAUUGUAGAGCUUGUUACACUUGUAGAGCUUGUAAAGCAGUGUGGUCUUCUGU